CCCUUGUAUAGGCCCAUCAAAAAUCGCUUACGAAAGUAUAUAAGCCCAGUUAAAUUUUUUUAAAAUUUCUCAAAUAGUAAACAGGCAUAAACACCAACAAAAGCAAAUUUUAUAAAGCGUCAGGGAAAACAAAGCUCGAAACAAAGGUAAAUUCGCCUAUGGUAUUUCCAAUUUUAAACGCACAAAACUGCAUUAAUCGAAGGUCGCGUGUUCAAGACCCAGCCGCGGCAGACAAUAUCACUUUCUGCUUGCGCUGGGAGUAUGGAAAUUAUGAAAUACACACUCAAGAACAUUUUC